UACAGAGGGGGCAAGCGUUGUUCGGAUUUACUGGGCGUAAAGGGCGCGUAGGCGGCCACUGCAAGUCAGUUGUGAAAUCUCCGGGCUUAACCCGGAAAGGUCAACUGAUACUGCAGGGCUAGAGUGCAGAAGGGGCAACUGGAAUUCUCGGUGUAGCGGUGAAAUGCGUAGAUAUCGAGAGGAACACCUGCGGCGAAGGCGGGUUGCUGGGCUGACACUGACGCUGAGGCGCGAAAGCCAGGGGAGCGAACGGG
rnacentral:rRNA from 1 species